GAUGAACGCUGGCGGCGUGCUUAACACAUGCAAGUCGAACGAAGCAUUUAGAACAGAUUACUUCGGUUUGAAGUUCUUUAUGACUGAGUGGCGGACGGGUGAGUAACGCGUGGGUAACCUGCCUUGUACUGGGGGAUAGCAGCUGGAACGGGGGGGUAAUCCCGAAUAGGGGACAAUGGUGCAUUACAUGGGUUGGAAAAAUCCGGUGGGAUAAGAUGGACCCGGGUUCGAUUUGGUAGUUGGUGGGAUAUCAGCCCACCAAGGCCACGAACAGUAGCCGACCUGGGAGGGUGACCGGCCACAUUGGGACUGAGGCACGGCCCAGACUCCUACGGGAGGCAGCAGUGGGUAAUAUUGCACAAUGGAGGAAACUCUGAUGCAGCGACGCCGCGUGAGUGAAGAAGUAAUUCGUUAUGUAAAGCUCUAUCAGCAGGGAAGAUAGUGACGGUACCUGACUAAGAAGCUCCGGCUAAAUACGUG
rnacentral:rRNA from 1 species